ensembl:lncRNA
GGGUGUUUUGGGGGGCUGGUGGGGGCGUGUGUUAACGUGACUCACUAACUGAAGGGUAGGGUUUAUGGAAUGACUUGCAGCUGACUUCCAUACCUCACACAGCGAUGGUGUUGUGAGCGAGACCCACAUGAGAAAAAGGCAAAUUAAAAAUCAUGGAUACUCUGACUCUCAAACUGUGCAGGAGAAGCCGGGACUUCGUAGAGGAAGAUCUGGAAGAGCCCCGCCUUCAGUGAAUCUGACGCUGCUUAAAAAUAAGGUGAACCACAGAUUAGUGGCUUAUUUAAAACGGAGAACUAGGAACGGAAUUGUUUUUAAUUGUGAAGUGUGGAGAGGAAAAGGUUCCUGUGUUUUUCUUCAUUGUUUUCCUGGAGAUCUUUUUGUUUGGUGGGAGUGGUUAAACGGUUCAUAUGCAAAGUGUUUACUCACUUAACCAAAAUGCAGAUUUUGAAAAUCCCACUAUUGCUUUUUCGGACUUUCUCUACCGUUCUUAUGUGUUGGCAUUUAGCACAGUUCUUUUCACCGCUAGAAGUGUGUCUUGGCCGGGGGUCUGUCCUCCACCUCGCUCGUUUGUGUUCCUCAUCCACCUGAUUGAAGCGUAUGUACAAUGCUAGACUGUUGUUAGGUCCUGUCUGUUCCCUUACAAAUGAGGGACUUGGGUCACCUUGUAAACAAAAAAGAAAAUGCAUUUUGAUCAAAACAUUUCAACGACCGAAAGUUUUGUUGAUUUUAAUGCUUGUAUGUCUUGAUGAAUAAAAAGAGCUAAGGUUUUCUUGCGUUGUGUUCUUUGUGUUUCCUGGUUUCAAACAUUGUGACACAUGCAUUUUGAUUAAGAUUAGGACCAGAAAGAUGUUCAACACACACGCGACCAGAACUACGCGAACAUCACUCUUGACAAAUUCAAGUGCGGAGCUCAAUGGUCACUUAAUAAAUUGCAUGCCAGGCAAGCAAUUUAAGUGUGCUGAUAUUGGAUAUGUAGAAAAAUUUUAGGUAAAUAAAUCUAGCUAAUUUCAAUGAUAAAACCAGUUCUGGAUUGAAGUUGACCACUCAUAAUUUCGAUAUGCUGGCGUUUGUCAGCAGCAGUGAGAUUGAGUGUCCUUCCAGACUGAAGCCAUCAAGUUUCUACACUACUUGUAGUGUAGGAAUAGGUGUCAUAACUGGAAGAGAACGGCAUUAACAAGUAGAUGUCAUAACUGGAGAGAACAGCAUUAACAUGUGGU